UACGGGGGGAGCAAGCGUUGUUCGGAUUUACUGGGCGUAAAGGGCGCGUAGGCGGCGCGACAAGUCACUUGUGAAAUCUCUGGGCUCAACCCAGAACGGUCAAGUGAUACUGUCGUGCUAGAGUGCGGAAGGGGCAACUGGAAUUCUUGGUGUAGCGGUGAAAUGCGUAGAUAUCAAGAGGAACACCUGCGGCGAAGGCGGGUUGCUGGGCCGACACUGACGCUGAGGCGCGAAGGUCAGGGGAGCAAACGGG
rnacentral:rRNA from 1 species